rnacentral:rRNA from 1 species
CGAGCGGACAGAAGGGAGCUUGCUCCCGGAUGUUAGCGGCGGACGGGUGAGUAACACGUGGGUAACCUGCCUGUAAGACUGGGAUAACUCCGGGAAACCGGAGCUAAUACCGGAUAGUUCCUUGAACCGCAUGGUUCAAGGAUGAAAGACGGUUUCGGCUGUCACUUACAGAUGGACCCGCGGCGCAUUAGCUAGUUGGUGGGGUAAUGGCUCACCAAGGCGACGAUGCGUAGCCGACCUGAGAGGGUGAUCGGCCACACUGGGACUGAGACACGGCCCAGACUCCUACGGGAGGCAGCAGUAGGGAAUCUUCCGCAAUGGACGAAAGUCUGACGGAGCAACGCCGCGUGAGUGAUGAAGGUUUUCGGAUCGUAAAGCUCUGUUGUUAGGGAAGAACAAGUGCGAGAGUAACUGCUCGCACCUUGACGGUACCUAACCAGAAAGCCACGGCUAACUACGUGCCAGCAGCCGCGGUAAUACGUAGGUGGCAAGCGUUGUCCGGAAUUAUUGGGCGUAAAGGGCUCGCAGGCGGUUUCUUAAGUCUGAUGUGAAAGCCCCCGGCUCAACCGGGGAGGGUCAUUGGAAACUGGGAAACUUGAGUGCAGAAGAGGAGAGUGGAAUUCCACGUGUAGCGGUGAAAUGCGUAGAGAUGUGGAGGAACACCAGUGGCGAAGGCGACUCUCUGGUCUGUAACUGACGCUGAGGAGCGAAAGCGUGGGGAGCGAACAGGAUUAGAUACCCUGGUAGUCCACGCCGUAAACGAUGAGUGCUAAGUGUUAGGGGGUUUCCGCCCCUUAGUGCUGCAGCUAACGCAUUAAGCACUCCGCCUGGGGAGUACGGUCGCAAGACUGAAACUCAAAGGAAUUGACGGGGGCCCGCACAAGCGGUGGAGCAUGUGGUUUAAUUCGAAGCAACGCGAAGAACCUUACCAGGUCUUGACAUCCUCUGACAACCCUAGAGAUAGGGCUUUCCCUUCGGGGACAGAGUGACAGGUGGUGCAUGGUUGUCGUCAGCUCGUGUCGUGAGAUGUUGGGUUAAGUCCCGCAACCGAGCGCAACCCUUUGAUCUUAAGUUGCCAGCAUUCAGUUUGGGCACUCUAAAGGGGACUGCCCGGUGACAAACCCGGAGGAAAGGUGGGGGAUGACGUCCAAAUCAUCCUUGCCCCUUAAUGACCUGGGGCUAA